UACGUAGGGUGCAAGCGUUAAUCGGAAUUACUGGGCGUAAAGGGCUCGUAGGCGGCCAACUAAGUCAGACGUGAAAUCCCCAGGCUUAACCUGGGAACUGCGUCUGAUACUGGAUGGCUUGAAUCCGGGAGAGGGAUGCAGAAUUCCAGGUGUAGCGGUGAAAUGCGUAGAUAUCUGGAGGAAUACCGGUGGCGAAGGCGGCAUCCUGGACCGGCAUUGACGCUGAGGAGCGAAAGCUAGGGGAGCAAACGGG
rnacentral:rRNA from 1 species